UGGGGCUAAAGACCUUCAAUUUUAUCCACGAGGCAAUGAGAACCAUGGAAAUAUUUUUGGCAGGGAUCAACACAAAAGAAUUCCAUUUUUGACAUGGUGAUAGCGAUUAGAGGACAGGUUGCAGGGUUUCAGAUUUGUAAUAUCUAGCUGUCUGCUUGACAUCUGUCUGUAUGGCUCUCAACAUGGCCCCAGCUGAGCUCUCUGAAUUUCCUUCAGACUUGCUCUUUGUCAUUUGACCCCAACUGAGAAGUUUGCUGUUCCUUUGUCUCCCUAACAACCUGCACCCUGGUGGGGAGGUGAGGAGGAACUAGCAAGAGACUAUGAAGAAUUGACCAGUGAGGAGAGAAAAUGAAGAGAUGUCCAAUAAACUAAAAGAAGAAAGCAUUUCAAGGAGGGGGCAAUGACUGCAUCAACUCU